CGUAAACCUUCAGUUAUUUCGCGGGCUCUGAGAGCCUAUUGGAGCCCUGGGAAUUGUCACGUUACAGCUAAGAUCCUUACUUUUCAAUAAAAAGAGGUAAGACGCACGACUCCUUGUCAGACAGGGUACUUCCUGCUUGAAGCCUUGUCAGGUUUUUGCCUGCCAUAGGAGUUCUGUUAUACUCACAGACACCAUUCAAACAGUUUUAGAAAAUUCAGAGUGUUUUCUAUCCAAACCUGAACAAUAAUAUGCAUAUUCUAGCUUCUGAGUUGGUGUAGGAGGCAGUUAAAAAUGGGAACAUAUUUUUUCCAAAAUUCUCAAUACUGCCCCCUAUACCAAAGAGGUUAAGAACACAUUCUUAUUUACAAUGUUAUGUAUUGCUCAUCAUUGUUGUCGGCUGUUGUUUACUUAUUUAUUUGUUGUCUCAUCACAUUAUUUUACAAAAAAAAAACGGAAACGUAGCUAACACAUCAGUAUUUAUUGUUUCGACGGGUCUUUUUAGUGGUAUGGGGUUCCAGUAUGGCGUCGCUGGUCGCAUUGAUUGACAGAUCAUCCCUGAAGUUGUUUUAUUACGUAAAAGUUCUUUCACAUUAUGACGUUGGCUGAGUUACCGUAUAAAAUGCGAUAGCCUUAUCUCUUUGGUAAUCACUUGGUUAAGUUUUACGUGAUGAGAACAUAAGCUCCAGUCAUAGACUUUAACCAUGGAGGAUAAUAAGGAUAAUAAGAGUUUAAACGAAGAUGAUCCACAUGAUCAUCAAAGUUUGGAAGGUCAAGUCCAGAAAAUGAAGAAAGAUAUCCUGAGUUUAAACUAUCCAGAAGAUAGUGAAGUGAAGGAUCCCCUGCCUCAGAUCGAGCUGAAGGCUGUGACAAGGAGAAAAGUUAAGGUGAGACAAUAGAUUGAGGAGAGAAAGGGAAAUCUGGGGUCUUACCUGUCCACACUCCAAACCUGUCCAAUAUGCCAUACAACAUGCUGUUGUGAGGUUGGAGGGUAAAUUGUCCUUACAACAGACUUCCAUAAUAAUAUUCAAUCACCAAUCGUUUACCCUAGCUCUUCUCAAAGGCCUGUAUAGCAACGGCAACAUACAGUAUGUCACUGACUGUAUUGUCUUUUUAGACAAAGAGGAGGACCGGUGCCAACAGGUCCACAGUUGAACAGAGCACUGAUACUGAUGCAGCUGAGAGAGAUUUUGUUGAUAAUCAGAAUGAUGAAGAUGAGGAAGAGGUGAAGAAGGAUCCCCUGCCUCAGAUGGAGCAGGAUGCCGUGAAGAGAAAUAAAGUCAAGGUAAGGGAAUAGAUUGAGCAGAGAUGUGGAUAUUUGAGAUAUCUUUCAUGUCUAUAACUUGACCCUACAGCAUGUUGUUCUGAGGAAGGUAAAUUGCCCAUACAAUACCCUUUUAUCUCCUAAUAGUAAAUCUAGGGCUGACCCCAUUUGGUCGACUGGUCGAUUGUUUGGUCGAUAGGCUAUUGGUUGACUGGGAUUUCUUAAGUCGAGCAGUCGCAAAAGUUUUUUUUUCUUCAUGGUGCACAUGGACACCUGUCUGAUUCGCGCCUGUCACAGUUGACUAAUCCAUUACCGAGGCCACAGUGAUGGCACAGUCCAUCACGCUAAGACGUGAUACUGAAAUUGUAUAUGGUUAUAUUAUGUAAAAAUAAUGGUGCAACACUAAUCAAUCAAAUAUUAUUUUAUAACAAAUGUGCUUUCUCCCGCGUUGGAUACGGUCGCUGUCCGUGGUUCUGAAACAUAAUCUUCAGUGCGCCGUAGAAUUGGGGCCCUUCCCUAUGUUGCUAUGUGCAUAAUAGCAAAGUUAACCAGCAUAUUGGGAUUGAGAACAAUGCUGCAGAGGCAGCAGCAGCAGCAGAGAUGGGGAAACAGCCCUUGCCUUAGCCUAAUUGUCUAAGAAGAUUGAGGAGAGAAGAAAACACAACUUAAUUAGGUCUAUAAUCAAUAGCCUAAUUGUUAAAUGUGCCUGGCUUUGUAAAUCAUCC
rnacentral:lncRNA from 1 species